rnacentral:hammerhead_ribozyme from 1 species
AUCCACUUGACGAGUCCCAAAUAGGACGAAACGCGCGUCCUGGAC